rnacentral:lncRNA from 1 species
UUUUGAGAUGCUAACUGCACAUUUUUGAUGGACCUUCCCAUUUAUAUAAUUGCUAUUCCUUUCAAUAUUUGAAAUUAACUUCUUCGUGACUUCCUUAUUGACACUGAUUUUGAUAAUCGCUUUUUCCUUUCUUUUUUUUAUUAAACAAUUUGGGGGGAAAAGGGAAUAUCUACUCCUCCUCCCAUACUGCACUUACCUUCUCUUAGAGAGUCAUGUAAAAUAACGAAAAUCAAAUAAAGGCGUAGAAAUUAUUAGGUGCAUGUUUUAGUCUUCAAAUUAUUGGUCUGUUAUGUGUGCUGACUCUACGCAUUCUUGAAUACCAUUGGGAGAAAUAACUUGUUUCAUACUCAAUUUGUUUAAUAUUCAACUUCUGCCACAUUGGCUAUAUCAUCAUGACUGAAACUUGUUUAUUUUUCAAAUUGUCCGCCAGAUCUUUAAUUGGCUUCUCUUUGACAGGUUUAAAAAAUUUGGAGUAUUUGAAUCUGGAUUCUUGCCAGAUUGGCGAUGAAGGGCUUGCGAAUUUGACAGGUUUACUGCUAAGUUUUGUAUUUUCCCUUUUGUAGAUUUUAAUGGCCGUUACAUUGUUUAAACCUUAUAUAGAAUAGUUAUACUUCUCUAACGUUCCUGCAAAAGCAAGCUACCUACUAUAGAUCUGAAAUGGGGCCAACUUUUCAUUCGACCUUGCAUGCUGGGAGAUUUAUAGCAUCAAGUUUUCUUUAGAUCCGUGAUUGUGGGGAUAUAUGGAAUUAGUCCUUGUUGUCAUUUUCAGCUGAAUGUGUUAACUUCAUGGUUCUACUUCUCAUAUUUUCUUGGUCCAUUAAAUUUGGGAUGGAAUAAAGCCAUGGAAUUUGGCAUUAACCAAAUGGUUUUGACUUGGAUUUAUAAAUUUAUCAUGUUGUGAAUUUAAAUAAUUAUUUGGUCUUGAACUUGUGCUUAGAAUAUUCAUUAUAUUAAGCAUUGUCUAGUGGUUUUGAUUUGUUAAUGCUCUCUUUGAGGGGGGAAGGUUCUGUUUCUUCUGAAUAUCUGCGAGGUUUUAGGUGUCCAAUAUUUGGAUUGGAAGUAUAGCUUACAGUAUGAAAUUUAUAGUUGUUUGUUCUUUCAGGCCUCACUCUCUUGAAAAUCCUAGUGUUGUCUGAUUCUGAAGUUGGGAACGGCGGGCUUCGAUAUUUAUCAGGUUGAUGCAACAACCCUGUAGCUGUGAAAUGAGAAUUUAAACUCAGCUAUCAGUGUGAAUUUAAAUUUAUGCUGAUAAAUUAUGUUAGGUUGUGUUUCUAUAUUUGCUGGUUAUAUGUUGAAGGCUACAUAAUCAUUAAAGUGAUUGUGAUGUGCACGAGGUAAUCUGUCAUAUAUGAAUCACUUCAGCACCUCCUUAAUUAACUUCCACGUUGUCAACUUUUAGUAUGUAAAUUGACAUUGCAUGCUGAGGCUCAAUCUUGGAAUGUGAUAAUCUAUUUUUGUAUAAUAUAUUGGACGGUAUAAUUCAGAAAGCCCAUUUAGUUGCACAAACACAUCUGAACAAGAAAAAUUGUUUCUGUCAAUAGCAUGCCAAUCUGCUGAGCAGUGCUAAGACGUGGUUGCUGCGCACACCAUUUUGAUUUGAUCUUAGGCAUCUUGUUUUAAUAGUUGUUCAGUUUCUCUGUCUAUUAUGAAUAUAUGUUUUCCAGUCAGUUACAUCUAUUUGCACACAAGCAUAUGUGUCCAUCUAUCUGAUUCUGUCUUGUUAGAGAUAUUCACAGACAUUGAUUUUAAUACACCUGUGAGAUUGUACUUGCUUUUGUCCAGGGUUAAGCAAACUUGAAGAUUUGAAUCUGUCAUUUACUUCAGUAACUGAUAAUGGCCUGAAAAGGCUCUCAGGACUGACAAGUCUUAAAUCACUUAAUCUGGAUGCUCGACAGAUAACUGAUUCUGGACUGGCAAAUCUUACAAGUAAGCAUUUCCUUGUGUAUAAUCAAUAUAUCGCAUGUCUUUCAUUCACGAUUAUUCACUUGUUAUCCUUAUAAUUUUGGUACUCUUGUAUGAAUUAUUUUGUAUAUGUAAAGAGGGUACUGCCUAGUCAUGAGAAAGCAGCAUUAUAAAUCAUUAAACAUGGCCCAACUUCCCUGUCCGUUUGUCAUUUAUUAUUUUUCCUUUUAUCUUCUGUUAUUUUUAAAAUUAUUUACAAAUCUAAAACUGCAGCAUGCCAGCAUGCAAAAUUGAGUUCUGAUAACAGGUUGUAAGAUAGUUAGAGAACCACUGCUAGCACAUUUCUCUAGUUUCUUUUGAAUUAUUUCAUCUAUGUUGACUGUUGAGUCAUUUCAAUGCUUCUCCCUCUUUAUAAUCACUUGUGAUUUGAACAUUUGUUUUUCUUCUCUUUCUCUCAUUUCUCUUCUUUACUUUUACAUGCUCCAUUAUUUUCUGGGCGGGCCAUCCUAUAUACUCUGCUAAUGACUGAUUAUAUCUUUCUAUUACGUCUCUUACUUUUUUAUAGAACCAUUUUAGAAGUCUAAAACUUUAGAAAUAACCACUUUUUCCCAUUGCAUAUUUGUCACAUGCUAUUUGGAAACUAGCAACUUCCUGUAUUCUAUUGGAUCAAGUGCAUUCAUGGGGUAAAAUCUAUAUGUCAAGUCACAACUCUUUCUAUUUAAGCCCUUGUAGAAACACCAUGUUUGGAUCCAAUUCUGACCCUAUCUAGGCCUUCACACCGGACGCGAUAGCUUGUCCUCAACAAAAAAUCCCCUUAGCACUUAGCUCUAAGAUUUCUACCCUUAUCGAAUCAAACUUCCAGUUGGAUCUAACUUGACCCACCUGGACUAACCAAGGCAUGAUGCUGGCUUACAACUAACAAUCCCUUUCCAGCACCUGCAGCCAGUAGCUUGUUUAGAAUUAAACUCAUGACUUCAGCUCUCAUACCAAUUUUUUCUGAGUGGCUUCCCAGUAGACCGAAAAACUAUUGUAGUUAGCACCACUCCUCUUCAACUUAAACCUGUCAUCAAGCUCUAUGGUAUCUUGACUCUGAUCCUGUUGUCCAGGCAGAUUGCUAACCCACAACAUAUUGCAGGUUGCAUCUUUGGUUUAGAUAUUUAACCGAAACAGUGUUUUUAUAUUUUUACUCUGAGCUACACAUCCUUUUUAUGAGGUUCAAGCUAAACCAAGAUAGUUGUUUUCACAUCUUUUUACUGUAACUAAUGUGUUUUAAUAUAUUUUUGUGAGCUAUAACUAAAUUUCCUUCCUUCAUAUGUAACUGUCUGAUUGACUUUUUCUUGUAUAGGUCUGAGUGGAUUGAUAACUUUGGAUCUCUUUGGUGCCCGUAUCACUGACUCUGGAACUACAUAUUUACGGUGUAUGUAUACCAACUUCAGACUAUUGUUAAUUUCCUUCGUUCAUAUGGUGUAUGCUAACUGCAUACUUAUUUCUUGAAAAUACCUGAUUGUAAUGUGUUUCUGAUAAUUGUAACAUCUAACCAACUAGUUAGUCUACACUUGAAAUGAGAAUCCAUGAGAAACGAUGAAAAUACUCUGCACUUCCCGUGGUGUUUUCCUUUUUUAGGUAUUUGAUGCUUAUCAUAUAUGUAUUGGGCUGCACACAUCGGUUAUGAAAUUGUUAUCUGUUCAAGCGAAUAAAUAAUUCUACAUAAAGUUUACUCUUCUGUUCUUUAUAAUAUUCACAUUUUAUAAGAAAAACAUGAAUCUACAUAAUCUUCUUCAUAAAGUAUCUCAGUGGCUAAACUUUUAUUUCCUUCUUUGCAUCAUGCAGCGUUCAAGAACCUGCAAUCCCUUGAGAUAUGUGGUGGAUUUUUAACUGAUGCAGGUGUGAAAAAUAUUAGAGAAAUUGUCUCCCUUACACAGCUAAACCUUUCUCAGAAUUGCAAAUUGACAGAUAAAACCCUGGAGUUAAUUUCUGGUAUUUUCUGCCUGCUCUUUUCAACAAUAAUAAUCUAAAUUAUUUGAGAUAUAUGUAAUAUAAGCAUAAAACUGUAAUUUGAAUGUUUAGUCAGUCAGCUAUCAGUUACACCUUCCUAGUUAAAGUUGACUGUUAAUUAAGCACCACAUCUAAUGAGGGUGCAGCUGGUAGUGAUGUGCUAAUGUUACAUGUUUACGUGGCUUUCCUGAUUGAUUAGGGAUGUUUGUUCUUCUUUCUCUAACAUGUUUGUAUAUUCAUAUCUGAAUACAGGAAUGACUGCGCUGAAGUCACUAAAUGUUUCAAAUUCUCGUGUAACAAACCAAGGACUACAAUAUUUGAAGCCUCUAAAGAAUUUACGCACUCUUUCCUUGGAGUCUUGCAAUGUCAAUGCAGCUGAAAUUAAGAUGCUCCAUUCAAAUGAUCUUCCAAAUUUGAUAAGUUUUCGGCCAGAGUAGACAAGGUGAUAGAAAGAGUUCGGAUCUUAGCAUGGUGAACAAACAAUUCUCUGCACAUAUUUAUUGCUACUCUUUAGAUAAUCAUAAAAUAAUGAGUUGAAGAUGAAAGCUAAAAAAGUUAUUAGGCAUGUUAGUGUAAUUAUGCUUUAUUUUGCAUGUCGAGUAAUACUUGUACAUGUAUCUUUUUCUUUCUUUUCUUUCUUAAGUGUGCAAGUCAUGCCAGGUAUUGUGCAUUAUUGUAUGUUUGUAAAUAAAAACAGGUAUUGUGCAUUAUUGCAUGUCUGUAAAUAAAAACGAUGGAAGCAAUGACAAAGUUUAUGCAUGACUAAUUUCUUUGGUUUUUUUUUAAAC